UGAAACUUGGUUUUUCAUUGCCUUGAGCAGUUGCCACAGCCAGACUCACUCUACCAGCGCUGGAGCAGUUCUGUGCAUUCAGAACUGGUUAACAAGGGACCACAAAUUGUGAAUAGUCUGAGAUCUGGGUUUCAUACCUGUGUGACAAGAUACAGGUGAGGCCUGGUCUUGUUAUGCUUCCCACAGAGAUUUAUCCAGGCUUAGGGUUUAUUAUCCUCAAAAUACACAGCUCUAGAGAUUACAGUUAACUAUUAAUUUGCUGCUCUAAAUUGGGAGUCUUUCUCACUGGCAGAAAAGAGCUGACAAUGGUUUGCUUAUCCUCUCUGCAGAGGAUACAGUUCCUUUAUAGAAAUUCCAUGGUGUCCUGUGAAGUGAGACACUGAGAGUUGCUGCUGAUCCCCACGUUUGGAUGAGUUUGACUACAGAUUUCUGCUUCACCAAACAUGAAGGCAUGAAAAAUCCAGACAUGUACAAAUCCAAGUACAUACUCAUACAAAUGAGUAUGCACACUGCACAUCUGAUGGUCAUGUGAUAAAAGGGAAAAUCAGCUGUGAAAGAAAAUUGCAGAAGAGAUAAGUGUUUGAAAGAAGAAGAAUUGAUCUUCACUGAUAUCCAUCUGUGAAGUUCUGACCUCUGCUUUCAUCAGCAAGCCUUUCUGCCAGGCAUCUGAGAGUCAAAAGAAAGCCUUGCUGUGAGAUCUACCAAAUUCACUGUGACCCUAAUUCAUCCUGUCUUGUGUUGAGAGUUUAACUGCACCACCUUCACAAGGAGUGUAGUCCCUCUACACUCCCUUGAAGAUCUACAGAAAGUUGUAGAAUCAGAACAGGCAUCUGACAAAACUCUUCUGCUCCUAAACCAUAAAAGAUGCCUCUGUUUGAAAAUGCAAAAACAGAAACAAAUUCCAAAAUUUGCUUUAACAAGGACAAAGUCUUUAAUCAGGAGUCUCUAGUUUAGUUCUGGAAUGAAGAUUCUGGUAACCUGAAGGGAAAUAGCCCUUGGAUUUGAAGCCUGGAACCUCCACCAGCAGUGAUGGGACAGCAGAGUGCCCUGCAGACACUGAUUUCUGCUCUUUCAUCUUGACCAAGCUCUUCCUGUGCUUGUUCCUAUAGCAACGCUGACCCUUCUCCUCCACUCCAGAUCACAGGAGUGAUUCUGAGGAGGAAGGGACCCACAAGGAUCAUCAAGCCCAGCUCUAAAGUGAAUGGCCCAUGUGAGGAUUAAAUCUACAAACCUUGGUGUUAUGAGCAUUGUGCUCUGUCCAACUGAGCAAAUCUCAGGGUCAUUCUCUUGAGUAUUUGCAACUGGAUAUCCUUCAGGGGAGUUUUCUAGGGUGUAAUUUCCAUGAAACUAGGGAGAAAUGGAAUUAUUUCCUGUCUCAAACUAAACUGAAUUUAUCCGUUACAAAAAUCUCAGUUGUUUCUUAGCGUUGCCUCCAGGUGCUGCAGUACUCUCUCCUACUUGUGAGGGCUCAUUUUCACCCUUGAGAACUUCAGAUAAGUUACCCCAGAGAAGAAUUAGGUUAUAUAGGUUUUAAACAAUGAUUUAGAGCCUAGUGCCUGGAAUAAAGGGCAGCAAACCCUUGCAAUAUCAUUUAGUCUGGGCACCAGUGAGUGCAGUGUUGUGCCUUUUAGAUAUCGUUAAGUGCACAUUAUGUAGUGUCCAUCCCCCAAGAGCCUCCUCCACAGUCCAAGUGCCUGCACUGCCCAGGAGCAUUUCUUGACACUCACUGUACCACUUGUCUCACUUAAUAUCAUCCCAUUACUCUUAGUUACGGCCCCGUGAUUCACUUCUUUUAAAACCUCACAUUUUGGCUGCAUAAACCUGCCAUACAUUUAGAGGCAGAUUCAUGUUGUGUUAACCAACACACAGAAAGCACAGCACACACUUUGCAGGGGCAGCGUCCUCACUUCAGGUUGUGAAAAGAAGCAAAGAAUAAACCUUAACAGAUUGUGUUUGGCCACAGGUGGUUUAAUGAACUGAGCCUUGGGUGCAGUUCCUCUGGUCCCAAAAGACACAUCUGAAGAAAGUUGAGAAGUUAUGUGAAAGUCCACGCUGCAGAUACUUAAACCAAGGUGAUAUAGAACAAGGAAGAAAUUCCAGUUUAACUGAAAGAAAUCAGGUUUAGGUUGGAUAUUAGGAUGAAAUUCCUUACUAUGAGGGUAGUGAGACACUGGCACAAUUUGCCCACAGAAGCUGUGGAUACCCCAUCCCUGGGAGUGCUCAAGGUGAGGCUGGAUGGGCCUGGGAGCAACCUGGAAUAGUGAAAGGUGUCACUGCAGGGAUGUUGGAACAAGAUGAUGUUUAAGGUUCCUUGCAACCUAAACAUUUCUAUGAUUCUGUGAUACAUAUUUCACUGUAGGUCACUGUGACAAACUAUCCCCAAAAAUGUCAGCUGUCUCAAAGGUUGAAUUCUCUCCAGCACUGAGAAAAGCAGAGCACAGAGAAAAGGUCAACAGCACCUCAUACCUCCCCAUUGUCGCCACUGCAUAGUCUGGAUUCUCACCCAAUUUCCAUAAUUGUGUCAUCAUUCUACAAGUUGCUUUGUGUUCUAAUUUCAGCCUGAAAGUGCAUACCCAGUUACUUUUCCUCUGAACUCCAAGUAUCCCCUGGGCCACAGUACUUAAGGGACAAUAUGAACAUCUUGCCUGAUCUGCCUUUGGUCUCCUUCUUUAUAAAGCCCCAAAUGCAGCUUUGAUGAGCACCCAGUGGUGCUUUCCCAUAUACUAAAUAUAUGUGUAUAGGCAUGAGUUUAGGUAUUCUUUAAUCUUAAUUUGAUAUAAUAAUUAAUAAAGAAGGGAAGUUAAGCACCCAUGUUUUAUAUCUUACAGUAGGGACUUAGUACUCAGACCUGUAUUCUACUCUUGUUAUCAACAUGGAGAAAAUAAACUGUUUUUUCUGACACUGUUUGAGUCAUCUUUUUUCCCCCUAGCUGAGCUUUUUUUGUGACUGUUAUCUAUAUCUUCAAGUGUAAGCAUGUGUUAUUGUGGACAGCCAGAACCAAAUGUUUCAGUAAUGCCUCAGUGUGCUUGCCAUUCCUCUCUGACUUCAGCCUAUGUAUAGAUUACAGCAUUUGCUGCCAUAAUGCAAUUUUAAAAGUAACUUUUUGCUUGCUGAAGGUCAAAAGGACAAAAGGUCAUUCUAUGGCAAUUACUUUUCCAUCAUUUAAAAAGAAA